AUGAAGAUACCACUUAAGAAUGAAAUCUUUGCAUGGUAUCUUUGUCGAGGAGUCAUUCUUACAAAAGAUAACCUUAUUAAGAGGAAAUGGCAUGGAAAUACGCAAUGUAUUUUAUGUCAUCACAACAAAAAUAAAUAAAUAAAACACUCGUUUUUCCAAUGCAAAUUAGCUCGUUCUAUAUGGUCAGUCAUCCAAGUAGCUUCUGGCUUGUAUCCCCCACGUAGUGUUGCUAAUAUAUUUGGUAACUGA
rnacentral:rRNA from 1 species